UACGUAGGGGUGCUAGCGUUGUCCGGAUUUAUUGGGCGUAAAGAGCUCGUAGGCGGUUUGUCGCGUCGGCUGUGAAAACCCGGGGCUCAACCCCGGGCCUGCAGUCGAUACGGGCAGACUAGAGUGCGGUAGGGGAGACUGGAAUUCCUGGUGUAGCGGUGAAAUGCGCAGAUAUCAGGAGGAACACCGGUGGCGAAGGCGGGUCUCUGGGCCGUAACUGACGCUGAGGAGCGAAAGCGUGGGGAGCGAACAGG
rnacentral:rRNA from 1 species